UACGUAGGGUGCGAGCGUUGUCCGGAAUUACUGGGCGUAAAGGGUUCGUAGGUGGCCCGCUAAGUCACACGUGAAAUCCCUCAGCUUAACUGGGGAACUGCGUGUGAGACUGGCAGGCUUGAGUGCAGGAGAGGAACGCGGAAUUCCAGGUGUAGCGGUGAAAUGCGUAGAUAUCUGGAGGAACACCGGUGGCGAAGGCGGCGUUCUGGACUGUAUCUGACACUGAGGAACGAAAGCCAGGGGAGCAAACGGG
rnacentral:rRNA from 1 species